ACUAUGCCUAGCCUUAAACAAAAGUGACUAUUUACACCCCCGCUUGCCAGGGAACUACGAGCCCUAGCUUAAAACCCAAAGGACUUGGCGGUGCUUUAGACCCC
rnacentral:rRNA from 1 species